GAUGAACGCUGGCGGCGUGCCUAAUACAUGCAAGUCGAGCGAACAGACGAGGAGCUUGCUCCUCUGACGUUAGCGGCGGACGGGUGAGUAACACGUGGAUAACCUACCUAUAAGACUGGGAUAACUUCGGGAAACCGGAGCUAAUACCGGAUAAUAUAUUGAACCGCAUGGUUCAAUAGUGAAAUACGGUUUUGCUGUCACUUAUAGAUGGAUCCGCGCCGCAUUAGCUAGUUGGUAAGGUAACGGCUUACCAAGGCAACGAUGCGUAGCCGACCUCAGAGGGUGAUCGGCCACACUGGAACUGGGCCACGGUCCAGACUACUACGGGAGGCAGCAGUAGGGAAUCUUCCGCAAUGGGCGAAAGCAUGACGGAGCAACGCCGCGUGAGUGAUGAAGGUCUUCGGAUCGUAAAACUCUGUUAUUAGUGAAGAACAAAUGUGUAAGUAACUAUGCACGUCUUGACGGUACCUAAUCAGAAAGCCACGGCUAACUACGUG
rnacentral:rRNA from 1 species